AAGAAAGCAUCCUGGAAGAAGGAAGUGAUAAAUAGUAGUAAAAUACCUUAUAAGGCAUAAUACAAAUAUGGGUUAUUUUAUAAUUUUUUUAUUAAUUAUAAUAUGAAAUAUUUCGGUUUUAUGUGACUUUUUAACUGCUGUUGGACUAACCGUCAUUUUAAAUUAACCGUGGACGUCAUUCCCAAAUUUUACUAAAUGCAAUAUAAAUAAAGGUUAUUUAUAGUCAUUAAAAAAUAUUAAAUUAUAUAUGAAGUCCUUGUUCUAUCAUUUUGGCAUUGCACCCUGAAAGUUCGGAAAAAAUUUGACACAUGCAAUGCUUAGAGUAAUUGUCUGAGGUCCGUGUCUGGCUCCAGAAGCAAUUUUACACGGUUCGCGAAUGCAUUUUGAUUAUAUAUUUAUGGUAAUGCAAAUACGUGACUGCUUGGUGCUUAUGCAGUUAGAAACAUAGAAGUAAGAACUGAGUUUAUAUGCACAAUGCUGUUGAAGGAAAAAGAGACAUAUUAAGUAAGUUUGGACUUUGUUAUUCUGCUCUUAUGCCAGCCAAGUGAUUGGGGUAAGAUGCAAAGACUUCCCAAGCUUUAGUGCAGUCAAGUAACGUCACUUGGUCAGCUGACAGAUGGUACUGUUUGACUACUCUGAUUUCCCCACGUUAGACAUCUUGAUGCUGAGUGGAACACUAAGCUCUUUCCUGCUGGCUCCAAGCUUAAAGAGGGACAUUUUACUUUGAUUUCUGUUCACUACCUUUUCAUAGAAAAUGCUGUGGGGUAGUGAUACGAAAAUAUUACAUUUGCAUUAAGCAGUAUAUGAAUCCAUAAGAAGCACACAAAGAAACUGAAGAGAGGAAAAUG